rnacentral:tRNA from 4 species
GUGGGCGUAGCUCAGCUGGAUAGAGCGUCUGGCUACGGACCAGAAGGUCGGGGGUUCGAAUCCUCUCGCCCACG